GCGGCGGUGGUGGUGGAGGAGGUGCGUGUUAUACUUGUGGAAUGACGGGGCAUAUAGCUAGGGAUUGUGUUGGUGUUGGUGGUGGUGCUGGAAGUGGUGGAGGCGCAUGUUACACUUGUGGAAUGACAGGGCAUAUAGCUAGGGAUUGUGACCGUAGCGGUGGUGGCGGCGGCGGCGGUGCUGGAAGUGGUGGUUGUUACAAUUGUGGUGGACUUGGACACAUGGCUCGAGAUUGCCCUAGUGAGAGACGUGGCGGCGGUAGUGGUGCAGGUGGAGGUAGUGGGGCUUGUUAUAACUGUGGAUUGCCAGGGCACCUGGCAAGGGACUGUUCACGCGAGAGUGGCGGUGGUGACAGAUUUGGGAGAUCCAGUGGUGACAGGUUUGGGAGAUCUAGUGGCGGCGGAAGCAAGUGCUACAACUGUGGAGAAACUGGCCAUUUUGCAAGAGAAUGCACCAGCCCAGCUGUGAAGUGAGAAAAUCUUUAAGAGGAAGAGUUAUCAUGUACAUGAUCUUCUCUUUUUCUCUUGUCUUCCUAUUUAGGAGUAUUUAAUUAAUAUGGAUAAUACAGACUUGUUUCUUUUGUUACUUUUAGUUCUCCUACAUACAUGCAUUGGUAGCUUUUAGGAUAACAAAUUAGUUGUUGGAAUUUGCU
rnacentral:misc_RNA from 1 species